UCACUUUGGCAGUACAGGUGCUAAAAGUGAAACAAUACAGAGGUUAGCAUGGCCCCUGUAUAAGGAUGACAUGCAAAUUGGUGAAGUGUUUCAUUUUGUA
ensembl:snRNA U6 U6 spliceosomal RNA